rnacentral:lncRNA from 1 species
CUCUUUCUAAAAAAAAACCUAGAGAGAGAAGCUCCCUCUUCUCUCUACAAAGCUCGCCGGAGAAGAAGGUGGGGGAGGGGCGGCCGGAGCUGCUCCGGCGUGGUGGUCGGCCGGAGCGCCGCCGCGCCGGAGUUUUUUUUCUUGCUUUUUUUCGAAAUUUUUUACAUCAAAUCACUCCUCUUCCCUUCCUCUACUCGAAUCCGGACUCAUAAUUUCGAAAACAUGCGCCAAAAAUCCUAGAUCUACAAAUGAAGGUGUGAAAAUUUUUACCUCUUUUUCCGGCCUCCUUCUCUCCUUUGAAUCCGGUCCGUUUCGUUCCCUUCCUUUUCCGGUUCGGCCUCCUCCUUUGAAUCCGGUCCGGUCCUGUUUCCUUCCUUUUCCGGUCCGAUUCUGUUUUGGUUUGGAUGAUGAUGAUUUGUGUGGUUGUAUGGGUUGAUUUGAGGUUUUGUUGUUGUUAUGCGAUUCGGAUUUGUAGUGAUACAGAUCCGGAUUUGUGUUGUUGGGUUCGGAUUUGUGUUGUUGCCGUGUUUGUUGUUAUUGUGUGUUUCUGGAAAUGAUUGUGGUUCAUGUUCAUGAUGAACAACUAUGAACAUUCAUGAUGAUU